GAUCCUGGCUCAGGAUGAACGCUGGCUACAGGCUAAACACAUGCAAGUCGAGGGGCAGCAUGACCUAGCAAUAGGUUGAUGGCGACCGGCGCACGGGUGAGUAACACGUAUCCAACCUACCGGUUAUUCCGGGAUAGCCUUUCGAAAGAAAGAUUAAUACCGGAUAGUAUAACGAGAAGGCAUCUUCUUGUUAUUAAAGAAUUUCGAUAACCGAUGGGGAUGCGUUCCAUUAGUUUGUUGGCGGGGUAACGGCCCACCAAG
rnacentral:rRNA from 1 species